ensembl:lncRNA
CAGAUAAAACAAACGUGACCAGAUCAGGAAAAGUAAAAAGUGAUAACGAAGAGAUGGUUAAUAAUAACAUGUUAUAUACAAAUGAUGAAAGUAACAAAUAUUAUUAUAAAGAUCCACCAAACGAAUUUAUAAAUAUGAAUAAAACAUAUUUUAUGAAAGAGUUAUUUAAGAAUAAUUACCUAUAUGAAAAUGAAUAUAUUAAUAACAUUCAUUUUAAGGUUAAUCCAUUAUAUAAUAACGAAACAAGUGAAAUAUUUUAUUCAGUUUAUAAAUAUUUAUUUCGAACAGUUGAUAAUCCAAGUUUAAAUAAAAGAAUAGAAUAUAUAAAUUUUUGUAAAAAAUGUAAAUUAUAUAUUAUAAAAAAGUUAAUGUCAAAUUUGAAAAGUAGUAAAAAAGAAAAACAAGGUAAAAUAAUUAUUGAAAAUAUAAACGAAAUAAACAAAAAUACUAACAUUUUAAAUCAUAAUAAUAAAACUGCAUACGAUUAUUUUUAUUAUUAUUCUGAUGAUAGUGGAGAUAGUGAUAGUGAUCAAAUAAGUGGUAAGAAGGGACAAACAGAUAGUGGUGUUGGUGGUGUAGAUACUGAUCUUUAUGAUUCAGAAUAUGAGUAUUACAAUGAAGGAGGUAGAUAUAGUAAUAAAUCAAAACAUGUUCGACAAAGUAAUGCAUAUAAUAAUAGCGAACGUAAUGUUAGAAGAGGUAAUUUUGUUCAUGGUAAGGGGAAUAUGUCGAGAAUGGAUUUGGGAAGAUAUGGUAAUGCAAAAAGAAUAAACAGUAUUAGUAGUAAUAAUAAACAUAUUUAUAGGAGUGAUAGUACAGACAAUAAUAAUCACAUUCUAAAUGAAAUAAUAAACACAAACAUAUUAUUUAAAAAAGAGGAUCUAAAGAAUUAUUGUAAUUUUGAUAAAAAUAUAACAUUUGAUUAUGAAUUUACAAAUAAUAUAAAAAAUUUAUUUCAAAAAAAUGUUUGUUUUUUUACAUUAAAAAAAGAUUAUUUAUCAAAUCAGGUAAACAGUUUUUUGAAUUUAAAAAAUAUAAAUAAAUAUGCACAAGUUUUAAAUUAUCAAGUAAGACUUUUUUACGAAAUUGUUAAUAUAUUUGUUUUUUUUGUUUAUAAAUUAUGUCAUUGGGAAUUAUUAAAAAAUUAUUUUGAUAUAUUAAUGAAUGGAACUACGUAUGGUAUAAUAAAAGUGUUAAACCAUUUUGAAUGUAUAAACAAACAAAGUAAUGAACAAAUUGAAAAAUCUUGUUUAGAUAUGUAUAACUAUCUGUCUAAAAGAACAGAUGAAUGCAUAAAUGAUAUAAUGAAUGAUUAUUAUAAAAAAAUGGUAAAAAGUAAAAUAAAAAUUAAUACAAAUCGAAUUAUAAAUAUUAUAGAUACUUUUAAGGAGUAUUUGAUUAUAUUACAACAAGCAAUUUAUACAAAAGAAGAAUUAACAAAUAAAAUAUAUUUAAAAAGUAAAACUUUGUUUAAAGAUUUUUUACCUUCUUUUAAUUUGUUAGAGUUAAUUAUAUGGUAUGAUAAAAAAAGAGAAAAAAUAAAUUAUUUGAACAAUAACUGUUUUAUGAGUUUAAAUAUGAUGAUGUCGAACAGUAGUAAUAAAAGUAGUUACCAUUACAGAGUACCAAAAAACCAAUCAUUUGUUGAUCAUUUUAAUGGAUAUAUAGAUAAUACAGCAACAACAACAGCAGCAACAACAGCAACAGCAACAGCAACAACAGAAACAAUAAAUAACCCAAACAUACAGAAUAUAACACUAUCAUCUAUCCAUAAUAAUAAUCAAUUUUCAAGAUAUUCAUCCUGUUUUGAACGUUUACUAGAUUUUGCAAUUUCUUUAACAACCACAUUCGAAAGUAUAUAUUUUCUUAUUAACUAUAUUGGAGAUGUUUUAAAGUUGUAUAAUCCACAGUUUUACAAUUCUUUAUAUAUGUUAGUAAUAAUAAAAUUACAUAAGUUUAUGUAUAAUUUAUUUGAAAUUAAAAAAGUACGUACUUUAUUUAAAAAAAAAGUGAUAUAUUAAAAACUAGAAAAAGUAAUCAAACAAUUAAAUUAAUUUAUUUAUUAAAUAUUAUACCACUUAUAUAUUUAGAUCCUCAAAUGAAUGUUAUAUUGAUUAAUAAGUCUUAUGAAUAUAAGGCUGAUCAAAAAAAAAUUAUUUUUUCAAAAUUAUCUCCCUUUUCGUUAGUAGCUGAAGCAGUAAAUAAACGAUUAAGACAUGUUUAUACA